UCCACUUUAAUUUCUUUUCUUUUAGUGUCAGUUGCUCAAGCCUGACCGGGGUAGAGGCUAGAGAAGCAAGCUGUCCCUGGCGUCCCACCUGACCUCCCAGCCUUUGCUCCCGUUUCCUUCUUUUGAACAGACAGACAGACAGACUGGUUUUCCAGGUUGUUUGGGUAUCAGUGUCUGCCUGUCCAUCCAUGCAGUUCUUAGGUGGCAGGUAGGGAGUGAGGAGGAGAGGUGCUGGGAGGAAGGUGGAAAGGCACAGUUUUCCAGGGAUUGCCUUAUUGAAAUGUUCGGCCCUGGGGCGGCUGGGCUGGUGGGGAGCCAGUGGGCAGGAUGGGGCAUGGGUUGGGAGAAGUGGGGUAAAGCUGGUAGGUUUGUCACUGCGUAGUUGGGAAAAGUGGGGAAUGGUGACGCAGUCACUGUUGCAUCUUGUUAGGAGCUCCAAGGGGGACAGGUAGUGAGGCUCCCGGCAUCUGUAAGGCCAGCUGAGAGGGGUUAAGGAUAAGCUGAGAAGGGAAGCUAGCAUUUAGAGAUUAAAUGUCAUCCUUUUGGCGUUGGAAAGUUGUUUACCUUGCGCUCUCUGUGUCUCCAUGUUGGCACCCUUCCAGUUCACAUGUGAUGGCCUUCCUUGUACUGCUGCAUCAUUAACUAAGUGACUGAGCUGGCCUUCCAUUGGCCAGGGGAGGGCUCUCACUCCAGACAUUUCCUCUGAUUGGUGGGUGGGCCAAUGGCAGGUGAAAACCUUUUUUUGAUUGGCUGAGGGCAGGGUAUCAAAUCUGAAUUUGCAUUUCACUUGCUUAAAGGGGAGGGGGGAGAAGCCCAGCAGCUUUCUAAAAUCUGUUUAGGGGUGUGCGUAUGCUCUUGUGUCCGUGUCUGCUUCUGACUGACCAGGUGAAGCCUCUUCCUAUGCCUUUUUUUUAUUUCAAGCACUCUGGGGAAGAGGAGCUCAGGGUUCCCCAAACUUUUUUUUUUUUUUGGAGGAGGAAGGGUUGGAGAGAUGGGUGCGCAGAGGGUUGACCAAACUGGAAGGAAGUAUUUGUCCUUUAGUUUGGUGUCGGAAGAGGGAAUUUUCCAAUCAGCCACACCUCGGUGUUGCGGCAAAAUAAUUCUUGGCUUCCCUGGAAACGCACGGGGCAAGGUAGGAGAGAUCUGCUGCUGCUGACACUGCCACCACCAUGGGCUUCCUGCUGCCUCUGGGCUGCUCCCUGGGGACCAGAGAUUUGCAUUGACGGGGAUGUCCAGAGCUGAGCCCAGUGUGGGAAAGACCUGCCUUCUGGAAGCUGCUGCUCCCUGGUCUUGGAAAGGUACCACGUCAGGCUCUUUCACGGACCUCCUUUCAUUGACUGCUUUCCACAGCCCUGUGAGGAGAGUCCCAUGGCUGGUGCUGUUGAGCCACCAAUUUUCUGUGGUUCUGUGACCCCCAAGUGCUGAUUGAUGUGACAGAAUCCGGUCUCCUCAGUGAAUCAUCGUCAGGCUGCUUAUUGGAACCCAGAUGCAGCAAGAAAAUGGGAUUUAACCCCUUCUCAGCCUCUCAGGAGGCUGCUCAUGAGCUGAUGAAGCCAGAGAACACCUCCAGGCCCCAAGGCCUGUGCAGAGCCUGAUGCAAUAGCGUCGAGCCUGGGCAGGAAGAAGCAGGAGCAUGACGAUGGAGCGAGCACGUGGGGACAUGGUUAUACAUCAUCUGACCACAGGAUCAAGGCCAGGAGGGGGUGUGGUGGGAGGAUGCGUCCAACAUUCAACCACCGUUGCCCACUGCAGCCUGGAACAGGCCUGUGUGUGCGUGGAGCCCAGGUCAGGGCUAUAAUGAGGCAUGAGGACAGAAGAUGGGCCUCAGGGCUCUUGGUCCCAGCAUAGGGGGCCAGGAAAGGGAAACUGACUUUCAUUAAGAGUCUCUCUUUGCUUAUCUUAUUUCAUCCUAAGAGCAACCAUAUGAAGUAGGUAUUAUUUCCUUUCUACAGAUAAAGAAGCCGUGCAUAGUAAUUACUUUAACCAAGUUCAUACACUUGGCAAGUGGGAUUGUGGAGAUUUAAACCCCAGCACAUCUGAUUCCAAAGCCUGUGCUUUUUCUUCACCCUCUUGGGCGGAAGUCACACAUUUUGGGGAGCUAAGCCCAUCGGAGAUUAGGCAGCUGGAAGAUGUGGUGGAAAUCAGAGUGAAAGGCCACGUACCUAGGGGAACGUGGCAGCCUCCAGUCAUGGCUGUGCUGUAGCCCUUUCCGGGGGGCAAGGGGCAGUUAGUUCCUGGUGUCCAUGAAUGGGCAGGGCUGAGCAUGGCAGAGACACCGGUUCUACAAGUAUGCAUCUAGUUGCCGCUACGCGGCGGGGAGUGUGCUAAGUGCUGGGGACGCAGAACUCUACAAAACCAAGUUGCUGCUCUCAUGGGAUCUACUUUCUGGUAGAGGGAGAGGUCAUUCAUAAUAAAAAAAAAGGGAAUUAGGAAAAUAUAUAAAGUAGACAUAUACGAAAAGGGGGACACCCACCCAUAAGAAGCAGGGAUCCAGAUGUUGGUCAAGGAGGGAAUUUAUGAGACUCAAGAUUCUCAGCCACCUGGGGAAGCCAUGUUGAUGGAGCCCCCAGAGUUCAAAUCGAUACAGUUGCUAAAGCUUCUCUUUUCCUAACAGCUGGAAAAAUCACCCAAGGUCCCCAAAGCUUACAAGAACUUGCAGUGAGUCAGAGAUCAAGGUGGCAGUAGAUGUCAAGCCUUUGGUAACCAGCAAAUGGAGGUUUUCCGUUAGCCAUGGCUGCUCUUGGCCUAAAGUCUCACCCCCACCCCCAGGUGGCAGCUGGCAUCUCUGCCUCGUCACGGUGCCCUUCUCUCGGCCACAUGGACAGGGGAGCACUUGGGCUAAGUCUUCGCUGAGUCACCAGUAAAGUAUGUGCCUUCAGGAGACAGAACUCAGCUCAGCCUCUCCUGGCAGAACACGU